UGGAUCACCUCCUAACAGGGAGACAACAAAAUGUUUAAUAUUAUUAUUUUGUCACCUUAGGUCGAUCGGUAUCUCACGUUUUUAAUUUAUUAAGAAUUUCAUUUCCUAAGUUUUUCUAGGUCACACCCAUUAUUUUCCUGGGCCAUUAGCUCAGGUGGUUAGAGCGCACCCCUGGUAAGGGUGAGGUCCCUGGUUCAAGUCCAGGAUGGCCCAUAUCUCUAUGUUGGGGGUAUAGCUCAGUUGGUAGAGCGCCUGCUUUGCAAGCAGGAUGUCAGCGGUUCGAGUCCGCUUACCUCCACUGAUCACCACCUCUUCCAUAAUCGAUAGAAAGGAAAUGUUUUGAGUUGUGAUCUAAUUCUGAACGAAUCUAGCUUCCUAAUGAAAUUAUUAAGAUGCUGGACUCAUUGAAUUAAUUUCAUUGUUUUCAGAGAACCUUGACAACUGCAUAGAUUAUUUUAAAGACAAUAAGCAUCUUUAAUGAUGCAGAUUUAUUAUUUGUGCGAAUGCAUUAAAUAACAAUUCUAUUAAGCUGAUGCUUCAAUUUUUGAAGUUAUUGGUCAAGCUACAAAGGGCUCACGGAGGAUACCUAGGCACACAGAGGCGAUGAAGG
rnacentral:tRNA from 1 species